UGAGGAAUAUUGGUCAAUGGCCGCAAGGCUGAACCAGCCAAGUAGCGUGCAGGAUGACGGCCCUCGGGUUGUAAACUGCUUUUAGUCGGGAAUAAAAGGGCGCACGUGUGCGCCGUAUUGCAAGUACCGUCAGAAAAAGGACCGGCUAAUUCCGUGCCAGCAGCCGCGGUAAUACGGAAGGUCCGGGCGUUAUCCGGAUUUAUUGGGUUUAAAGGGAGCGUAGGCGGUCUGGUAAGUCAGCUGUGAAAACGCGGGGCUCAACUCCGCGCCUGCAGUUGAUACUGUCGGACUUGAGUGCACGCAGGGAUGCCGGAAUUCAUGGUGUAGCGGUGAAAUGCUUAGAUAUCAUGAAGAACACCGGUGGCGAAGGCGACUUUCUGGACGACAACUGACGCUGAGGCGCGAAAGCGUGGGGAGCAAAC
rnacentral:rRNA from 1 species